UACGUAGGGUCCGAGCGUUGUCCGGAAUUACUGGGCGUAAAGAGCUCGUAGGUGGUUUGUCGCGUUGUUCGUGAAAACUCACAGCUUAACUGUGGGCGUGCGGGCGAUACGGGCAGACUGGAGUACUGCAGGGGAGCAUGGAAUUCCUGGUGUAGCGGUGAAAUGCGCAGAUAUCAGGAGGAACACCAGUGGCGAAGGCGGUGCUCUGGGCCGGAACUGACGCUGAGGAGCGAAAGCGUGGGGAGCAAACAGG
rnacentral:rRNA from 1 species